rnacentral:tRNA from 1 species
GCCCAGGUCGCAUAACCUGGUAUUGCGCAGGAUUGCUAAUCCUGUGUCUUUCGGGACUUGCAGGUUCAAAUCCUGCCCUGGGCG